rnacentral:misc_RNA from 1 species
GAUGAAGAACGCAACGAAAUGCGAUAAGUAAUGUGAAUUGCAGAAUUCAGUGAAUCAUCGAAUCUUUGAACGCACCUUGCGCCUUUUGGUAUUCCGAAAGGCACACCUGUUUGAGCGUCAUGAAUACCUCAAUCUCCAUCUUUUCUUCGGAUUGAUGGGUGACUUGGAUGUUGAGCCCUGCUGGUAUGCUAUAUCAGCUGGCUUUAAACUUAUUAGCCGGCUCUGUACUGGAUCGGUUUGACUCGACGUGAUAAUAUUAUCGUUGAGGAUGCAUGUCUCAUGCAGCCGGAAAGUAUCAAAGCAGCUUCUAGCUUGCCUUUAGUGCACUUUUACAUUUUAGACCUCAGAUCAGGUGGGACUACCCGCUGAACUUAAGCAUAUCAAUAAGCGGAGGA